AGCGUACACGGUGGAUGCCCUGGCAGUCAGAGGCGAUGAAGGACGUGCUAAUCUGCGAUAAGCGUCGGUGAGGUGAUAUGAACCGUUAUAACCGGCGAUUUCCGAAUGGGGAAACCCAGUGUGUUUCGACACACUAUCAUUAACUGAAUCCAUAGGUUAAUGAGGCGAACCGGGGGAACUGAAACAUCUAAGUACCCCGAGGAAAAGAAAUCAACCGAGAUUCCCCCAGUAGCGGCGAGCGAACGGGGAGGAGCCCAGAGCCUGAAUCAGUGUGUGUGUUAGUGGAAGCGUCUGGAAAGGCGUGCGAUACAGGGUGACAGCCCCGUACACAAAAAUGCACAUAUUGUGAGCUCGAUGAGUAGGGCGGGACACGUGGUAUCCUGUCUGAAUAUGGGGGGACCAUCCUCCAAGGCUAAAUACUCCUGACUGACCGAUAGUGAACCAGUACCGUGAGGGAAAGGCGAAAAGAACCCCGGCGAGGGGAGUGAAAAAGAACCUGAAACCGUGUACGUACAAGCAGUGGGAGCCUCUUAAUGGGGUGACUGCGUACCUUUUGUAUAAUGGGUCAGCGACUUAUAUUCUGUAGCAAGGUUAACCGAAUAGGGGAGCCGAAGGGAAACCGAGUCUUAACUGGGCGUUAAGUUGCAGGGUAUAGACCCGAAACCCGGUGAUCUAGCCAUGGGCAGGUUGAAGGUUGGGUAACACUAACUGGAGGACCGAACCGACUAAUGUUGAAAAAUUAGCGGAUGACUUGUGGCUGGGGGUGAAAGGCCAAUCAAACCGGGAGAUAGCUGGUUCUCCCCGAAAGCUAUUUAGGUAGCGCCUCGUGAAUUCAUCUCCGGGGGUAGAGCACUGUUUCGGCAAGGGGGUCAUCCCGACUUACCAACCCGAUGCAAACUGCGAAUACCGGAGAAUGUUAUCACGGGAGACACACGGCGGGUGCUAACGUCCGUCGUGAAGAGGGAAACAACCCAGACCGCCAGCUAAGGUCCCAAAGUCAUGGUUAAGUGGGAAACGAUGUGGGAAGGCCCAGACAGCCAGGAUGUUGGCUUAGAAGCAGCCAUCAUUUAAAGAAAGCGUAAUAGCUCACUGGUCGAGUCGGCCUGCGCGGAAGAUGUAACGGGGCUAAACCAUGCACCGAAGCUGCGGCAGCGACACUAUGUGUUGUUGGGUAGGGGAGCGUUCUGUAAGCCUGCGAAGGUGUGCUGUGAGGCAUGCUGGAGGUAUCAGAAGUGCGAAUGCUGACAUAAGUAACGAUAAAGCGGGUGAAAAGCCCGCUCGCCGGAAGACCAAGGGUUCCUGUCCAACGUUAAUCGGGGCAGGGUGAGUCGACCCCUAAGGCGAGGCCGAAAGGCGUAGUCGAUGGGAAACAGGUUAAUAUUCCUGUACUUGGUGUUACUGCGAAGGGGGGACGGAGAAGGCUAUGUUGGCCGGGCGACGGUUGUCCCGGUUUAAGCGUGUAGGCUGGUUUUCCAGGCAAAUCCGGAAAACCAAGGCUGAGGCGUGAUGACGAGGCACUACGGUGCUGAAGCGACAAAUGCCCUGCUUCCAGGAAAAGCCUCUAAGCAUCAGGUAACAUCAAAUCGUACCCCAAACCGACACAGGUGGUCAGGUAGAGAAUACCAAGGCGCUUGAGAGAACUCGGGUGAAGGAACUAGGCAAAAUGGUGCCGUAACUUCGGGAGAAGGCACGCUGAUAUGUAGGUGAAGCGACUUGCUCGUGGAGCUGAAAUCAGUCGAAGAUACCAGCUGGCUGCAACUGUUUAUUAAAAACACAGCACUGUGCAAACACGAAAGUGGACGUAUACGGUGUGACGCCUGCCCGGUGCCGGAAGGUUAAUUGAUGGGGUUAGCGGUAACGCGAAGCUCUUGAUCGAAGCCCCGGUAAACGGCGGCCGUAACUAUAACGGUCCUAAGGUAGCGAAAUUCCUUGUCGGGUAAGUUCCGACCUGCACGAAUGGCGUAAUGAUGGCCAGGCUGUCUCCACCCGAGACUCAGUGAAAUUGAACUCGCUGUGAAGAUGCAGUGUACCCGCGGCAAGACGGAAAGACCCCGUGAACCUUUACUAUAGCUUGACACUGAACAUUGAGCCUUGAUGUGUAGGAUAGGUGGGAGGCUUUGAAGUGUGGACGCCAGUCUGCAUGGAGCCGACCUUGAAAUACCACCCUUUAAUGUUUGAUGUUCUAACGUUGGCCCGUAAUCCGGGUUGCGGACAGUGUCUGGUGGGUAGUUUGACUGGGGCGGUCUCCUCCUAAAGAGUAACGGAGGAGCACGAAGGUUGGCUAAUCCUGGUCGGACAUCAGGAGGUUAGUGCAAUGGCAUAAGCCAGCUUGACUGCGAGCGUGACGGCGCGAGCAGGUGCGAAAGCAGGUCAUAGUGAUCCGGUGGUUCUGAAUGGAAGGGCCAUCGCUCAACGGAUAAAAGGUACUCCGGGGAUAACAGGCUGAUACCGCCCAAGAGUUCAUAUCGACGGCGGUGUUUGGCACCUCGAUGUCGGCUCAUCACAUCCUGGGGCUGAAGUAGGUCCCAAGGGUAUGGCUGUUCGCCAUUUAAAGUGGUACGCGAGCUGGGUUUAGAACGUCGUGAGACAGUUCGGUCCCUAUCUGCCGUGGGCGCUGGAGAACUGAGGGGGGCUGCUCCUAGUACGAGAGGACCGGAGUGGACGCAUCACUGGUGUUCGGGUUGUCAUGCCAAUGGCACUGCCCGGUAGCUAAAUGCGGAAGAGAUAAGUGCUGAAAGCAUCUAAGCACGAAACUUGCCCCGAGAUGAGUUCU
rnacentral:rRNA from 1 species